UACAGAGGGUGCAAGCGUUAAUCGGAAUUACUGGGCGUAAAGCGCACGUAGGUGGUUUAGCAAGUUUGAUGUGAAAGCCCUGGGCUUAACCUGGGAAAGGCGUUGAAGACUGCUGGACUGGAGUCGGACAGAGGGUCGUGGAAUUUCCGGAGUAGCGGUGAAAUGCGUAGAGAUCGGAAAGAACACUCGUGGCGAAGGCGGCGGCCUGGGUCCAGACUGACACUGAGGAGCGAAAGCGUGGGGAGCAAACAGG
rnacentral:rRNA from 1 species